rnacentral:rRNA from 1 species
AUUGAACGCUGGCGGCAUGCCUUACACAUGCAAGUCGAACGGCAGCACGGGAGCAAUCCUGGUGGCGAGUGGCGAACGGGUGAGUAAUAUAUCGGAACGUGCCCAGUCGUGGGGGAUAACGUAGCGAAAGCUACGCUAAUACCGCAUACGAUCUAUGGAUGAAAGCGGGGGGUCGCAAGACCUCGCGCGAUUGGAGCGGCCGAUAUCAGAUUAGGUAGUUGGUGAGGUAAAGGCUCACCAAGCCGACGAUCUGUAGCUGGUCUGAGAGGACGACCAGCCACACUGGGACUGAGACACGGCCCAGACUCCUACGGGAGGCAGCAGUGGGGAAUUUUGGACAAUGGACGCAAGUCUGAACCAGCCAUGCCGCGUGCAGGAUGACGGUCCUAUGGAUUGUAAACUGCUUUUGUACGAGAAGAAACAACAUUACGUGUAAUGUCUUGACGGUAUCGUAAGAAUAAGGAUCGGCUAACUCCGUG